UGGCCCAACCCCUUGUGGGAGGGAGCUGUCGAAGGUGGGACUGGCGAUUGGGACGAAGUCGUAACAAGGUAGCCGUACCGGAAGGUGCGGCUGGAUCACCUCCUUUCUAAGGAGCA
rnacentral:rRNA from 1 species